UACGAAGGGAGCUAGCGUUGUUCGGAAUUACUGGGCGUAAAGCGCGCGCAGGCGGUCUUCCAAGUCAGUGGUGAAAGCCCGGAGCUCAACUCCGGAAAUGCCAUUGAAACUGUGAGACUGGAGUACGAGAGAGGUGAGUGGAAUUCCCAGUGUAGAGGUAAAAUUCGUAGAUAUUGGGAAGAACACCGGUGGCGAAGGCGGCUCACUGGCUCGUAACUGACGCUCAGGCGCGACAGCGUGGGGAUCAAACAGG
rnacentral:rRNA from 1 species